rnacentral:rRNA from 1 species
GGAGGGUGCAAGCAUUAAUCGGAUUUAUUGGGCGUAAAGGGCGCGUAGGCGGUAGGGAAAGUCAGAUGUGAAAUUCCGGAGCUCAACUUCGGAACGGCAUCUGAAACUUCUUUACUUGAGGUAAGGCGGGGAAAACGGAAUUCCACAUGUAGCGGUGAAAUGCGUGGAUAUGUGGAAGAACACCGGUGGCGAAGGCGGUUUUCUAGCCUUUACCUGACGCUGAAGCGCGAAAGCGUGGGGAGCAAACAGGAUUAGAUACCCUGGUAGUCCACGCUGUAAACGAUGCAUACUAGAUGUAAUCGGAUUCAACCCCGGUUGUGUCGGAGCUAACGCGUUAAGUAUGCCGCCUGGGGAGUACGCUCGCAAGGGU